AGAGUUUGAUCCUGGCUCAGGACGAACGCUGGCGGCGCGCCUAACACAUGCAAGUCGAACGGAGCUUAAAGAGCUUGCUUUUUAAGCUUAGUGGCGAACGGGUGAGUAACGCGUGAGUAACCUGCCCUGGAGUGGGGGACAACAGUUGGAAACGACUGCUAAUACCGCAUAAGCCCACGGAUCCGCAUGGAUCUGCGGGAAAAGGAUUUAUUCGCUCUAGGAUGGACUCGCGUCCAAUUAGCUAGUUGGUGAGGUAACGGCCCACCAAGGCGACGAUUGGUAGCCGGACUGAGAGGUUGAACGGCCACAUUGGGACUGAGACACGGCCCAGACUCCUACGGGAGGCAGCAGUGGGGGAUAUUGCACAAUGGGGGAAACCCUGAUGCAGCGACGCCGCGUGGAGGAAGAAGGUUUUCGGAUUGUAAACUCCUGUCGUUAGGGACGAUAAUGACGGUACCUAACAAGAAAGCACCGGCUAACUACGUGCCAGCAGCCGCGGUAAAACGUAGGGUGCAAGCGUUGUCCGGAAUUACUGGGUGUAAAGGGAGCGCAGGCGGACCGGCAAGUUGGAAGUGAAAACUAUGGGCUCAACCCAUAAAUUGCUUUCAAAACUGCUGGCCUUGAGUAGUGCAGAGGUAGGUGGAAUUCCCGGUGUAGCGGUGGAAUGCGUAGAUAUCGGGAGGAACACCAGUGGCGAAGGCGGCCUACUGGGCACCAACUGACGCUGAGGCUCGAAAGCAUGGGUAGCAAACAGGAUUAGAUACCCUGGUAGUCCAUGCCGUAAACGAUGAUUACUAGGUGUUGGAGGAUUGACCCCUUCAGUGCCGCAGUUAACACAAUAAGUAAUCCACCUGGGGAGUACGACCGCAAGGUUGAAACUCAA
rnacentral:rRNA from 1 species